rnacentral:rRNA from 2 species
GAUAUCGGCCAUACCAUGCUGAAUACGCCGGUUCUCGUCCGAUCACCGAAACUAAGCAGCAUCGGGCUCCGUCAGUACUUGGGAGACAACGUUUUUAGAACAUAUUUUUCUUGUUUUUA